rnacentral:rRNA from 1 species
AGUGAACGCUGGCGGUAGGCCUAACACAUGCAAGUCGAACGGCAGCACAGGAGAGCUUGCUCUCUGGGUGGCGAGUGGCGGACGGGUGAGGAAUACAUCGGAAUCUACUUUUUCGUGGGGGAUAACGUAGGGAAACUUACGCUAAUACCGCAUACGACCUACGGGUGAAAGCAGGGGAUCUUCGGACCUUGCGCGAUUGAAUGAGCCGAUGUCGGAUUAGCUAGUUGGCGGGGUAAAGGCCCACCAAGGCGACGAUCCGUAGCUGGUCUGAGAGGAUGAUCAGCCACACUGGAACUGAGACACGGUCCAGACUCCUACGGGAGGCAGCAGUAGGGAAUCUUGCGCAAUGGGCGAAAGCCUGACGCAGCCAUGCCGCGUGUAUGAAGAAGGCCUUCGGGUUGUAAAGCCCUUUUGUUGGGAAAGAAAUCCAGCUGGCUAAUACCCGGUUGGGAUGACGGUACCCAAAGAAUAAGCACCGGCUAACUUCGUGCCAGCCGCCGCCGUAA